GAAUGAAUUCCCAAAAUACUGCGUUGAGUAAAAAAGUCAGAAACAAAAGAGUGCAUGCAGUAUGGUUCCAGUUAAGUGAAAUUCUGAGCAAAACGAACUCACAAUAAUAAAAAUCAGGUGUGAUGUAACCCGGCAUAAAGUUUCAGUUGUGCAAGAUGAGAAGACUCUUAAAAAUAUUGCCAACAAGGGGCUGGCCCCGUGGCCGAGUGGUUGAGUUCGCGCGCUCCGCUGCAGGCGGCCCAGUGUUUCGUCGGUUCGAAUCCUGGGCGCGGACAUG